GUGUUCACUGUGGAAGCCUUGGUCAUUAAAAAGUAUUAAGGCACGCGGUGAAUGCCA
rnacentral:pre_miRNA from 1 species